ACGCCCGUGAGAGACACAUUGAUGUGAAUCAAUUAUGUGCACUUAUGCACGCGGAGACAAAGGCGUUUUGGUGAAAAGGCCUUUGGAACACCAUGAAGAGAGAUUUAGUGUUCCGGAUUCACAUCUCAUGUUUGUCUCUUCGUCCUCAUGUCUGGCGACGCGUCCACACGAUGACCUGCAAGAAAAACCACAACAGAGAAAAAAAGAGAAUCCCCGUUAGCAUCGUCUGUGCAAUAAGAGCAGAAAAAAGGAACACGGAAGAGCGAGAAGCAGACGGUUCAGAGUUGUGUCAUGUACAAUGGACUCUGGGGUGCACACAGACUACUGCAGCAUGCAGCAUGCACUAUGCAACCCCCCCACCCUCCUGAAUCCCAAAAGAAACAUCAGGGCCCAGUCAGUGAAGACCUCGGAUGGACAACGCUGGAUCGAUUCCGUUAACGGCCGGCAAAGCAGAUCAAAACUUCCUUUUGAGAACUUUCAUGUGAAUCUUCACUGCGAAAAGAUGGCUCUCAGAUGUUUCCUCUCCCCGGGUGUUAGUUUUUGGGCCUUGCGGAUAAAGGAAAUGCAGCUGAACGUAAGAGCGGGGACCCCGUUUCAGUCUCCCCUCGAGCAGCUCCAUCUGACCGGUGUUUCCUCCGCAGCGGAUCCCUCCCGCGCUGCUGCAUACGUGUGGUCACUUUGUGUGUGUCAACGCAGAGGGUACGCGAGGCCACCGUGACCCCGGAUGGCUGCACACACACACGUACCGACGCUCGGUGCUUUGUGUGCACCUUUGUCCGUGUGUGUGUGUGUGUGUGUGUGUGUGCGCCCGCUCUCCUAGAUCUCUGUUACAGCCCGUCCAUUGUGGAGGAGAGUGUUGAGCAAGAUCCUGACCCACCGGCGAGGACUAAUCAGACGCAUUCCUCGGGAUUAAACGGCCAAUUAACAAUAAGGGAGCCAUUGUGGCCCCUUCCCCUUGUGCGUCACGGUUAAAAGGUUUU
ensembl:lncRNA